ensembl:lncRNA
ACAUACACACAGGCAUUUUUUUUAAAUGAUCAGAAUUCAAGUAUUCAAGUAUUCAGUAUUUACCUGAAUAGUAGUACAGUGACUCUAAGGAAGGAAUCAAACUUCUUGAAAAGAAGUGUUAGCUGUAAUAAAAUACAGACAGUUACAAUGAACUCUUAUAAAACUAUGAGAAAUAUAAAGUAUUUAUGAUUAAUUAAAUGUAAUUGCUGUUUAUAAAUUGAAUGAUUACUUAGUGAAUACAGUAUGUGGGUUUGAACUCACAAUAUCUUGAACGAGCGUAGCCCUAAUUUUGAAAGCAGGAGACUGUCGAUCAUUGAGGUCAUCAGUGAAUGAAUCUUUAGAGCGGAACUCCAGCUUUAUUUUCACUUCAUAUACAGGCUCCAUUGUUGUAGAUGUUUCUGCUACACUAGUAGUGGAUGUUUCAGAAGCAGUUGUGAUUGUGGAAGUCUCUGUUGUUGUAGAUGUUUCUGCUGCACUAGUGGUGGAUGUUUUAGCAGGAGUGGCUGUGAGUGUGGAUGUCUCUGUUGUUGUAGAUGUUUCUGCUAAAAUAAAAGUGGAUGUUUCAACUGGACUUGUUAUGAUUGUGGAAGUCUCUGUUGUUGAAGAUAUUCCUGCUACACUAAUAUUGGAUGUUUCAGAUGAAAUUGUUGUGAUUGUGGAAGUCUUUGUUAUUGAUGAUGUUUCUGUUGCACUAGCGGUGGAUGUUUCAGCAGGAAUUGUUGUGAUUGUGGAAGUCUCUGAUGUUGAAGAUGUUUCUGUUGCCCUAGUGAUGGAUGUUUCAGUGGGAAUUGUUGUGAUUGUGGAAGUCUCUGUUGUUGAAGAUAUUUCUGCUACACUAGUGGUGGAUGUUUCAGCAGGAGUCGUUAUUGUGGAAGUCUCUGUGGUUGCAGAUGUUUCUGCUGUACUAGUUCUGGAUGUUUCAGCAGGAGUCUUUAUUGUGGAAUUCCCUGUUGUAGAAGAUGUUUCUGCUACACUAACGGAGGAUGUUUCAGCAGGAGUCAUGAUUGUGGAUGUCUCUUUUGUAGUAGAUAUUUCUGCUUCACUAGGGGUGGAUAUUUCAGGUGUAGUUGAUUUGAUAGUUGAAGUCUCUGUUGUUGUAGAUGUUUCUGCUACACGGAUAGUGGAUGUUUCAGAAGGAAUUGUUGUGAUUGUGGAAGUCUCUGUUGUUGUAAAUGUUUCUGCAGCACUAGUAGUAGAUAUUUCAGCAGGAGUAGUGAUUAUGGAAGUCUCUGUUGUUGUAGAUGUUUCUGCUGCACUAGUGGUGGAUGUUUCAGCAGGAAUUGUUGUGAUGGUGGAUAUCUGUGUAGUAGAUGUUUCUUUUGCAAUGGUGGUGGGUGUUUCAGCAGGUAUUGUUGGGAUUGUGGAAGUCUCUGUUGUUAAAGAUGUUUCUGCUGCAUUAGAGGUGGAUGUUUCAGCAGGAAUAGUGAUUGUGAAACUCUCUGUUGUUGUAGAUGUUUCUGCAACACUAAAAGUGGAUAUUUCAGCUGCAGUUGUUGUGAGUGUUGAAGUCUCUGUUGUUGAAGAUAUUUCUACUACACUAAUAGUGGAUGUUUCAGCAGGAGUCGUGAUUGUGGAAGUCUCCAUUGUUGUAGAUGUUUCUGCUACACUGAUAGUAGAGGUUUCAGCAGGAAUUGUUGUGAUUGUGGAAGUCUCUGUUGUUGAAAAUAUUUCUGCUACACUAGUGGUGGGUGUUUCAGCAGGAGAAGAUGUGAAUGUAGCAGUCUCUGUUGUUAUAGAUGUUUCUGCUACACUAGGGGUGGGUUUUUCAGCAGGAAUCGUUAUUGUUGAAGACUCUUUUGUUGUAGAUAUUUCUGUUUCACUGAUAGUAGAUAUUUCAGCAGAAGUAGUGAUUGUGGAAGUCUUUGUUAUUGAUGAUGUUUCUGUUGCACUAGCGGGGGAUGUUUUAGCAGGAGUUGCUGUGAUUGUGGAUGUGUCUGUUGUUGUAGAUGUUUCUGCUGCACUAAUAGUGGAUGUUUCAGCAGGAAUUGUUGUGAUUGUGGAAGUCUCUGAUGUUGAAGAUGUUUCUGUUGCCCUAGUGAUGGAUGUUUCAGUGGGAAUUGUUGUGAUUGUGGAAGCCUCUGUUGUCGAAGAUUUUUCUGCUACACUUAUAGUCGAUGUUUCAGCCACCGUUGUUGUGAUUGUGGAAGUCUCUGUUGAUGUAGAUGUUUCUGCUUUACUAGUGGUGGAUGUUUCAGUGGGAGUCGUUAUUGUGGAAGUCUCUGUGGUUGCAGAUGUUUCUGCUGUACUAGUUCUGGAUGUUUCAGCAGGAGUCUUUAUUGUGGAAUUCCCUGUUGUAGAAGAUGUUUCUGCUACACUAACGGAGGAUGUUUCAGCAGGAGUCAUGAUUGUGGAUGUCUCUUUUGUAGUAGAUAUUUCUGCUUCACUAGGGGUGGAUAUUUCAGGUGUAGUUGAUUUGAUAGUUGAAGUCUCUGUUGUUGUAGAUGUUUCUGCUACACGGAUAGUGGAUAUUACAGCUGGAGUUGUUGUGCUUGUGGAAGUCUCUGUGGUUAAAGAUGUUUCUGCUGCACUAGUGGUGGAUGUUUCAGAAGGAAUUGUCGUGAUUGUGGAAGUCUCUUUUGUUGUAGAUAUUUCUGCUUCACUGAUAGUAGAUAUUUCAGCAGGAGUAGUGAUUAUGGAAGUCUCUGUUGUAGUAGAUUUUUCUGCUGCACUAGUAGUGGAUGUUUCAGCAGGAGUCGUUGUUGUGGAAGUCUCUGUUGUAGUAGAUGUUUCUGCUGCACUACUGGUGGAUGUUUCAGCAGGAGUAGUUAUUGUAGAAGUCUCUGUUGUUGUAAAUGUUUCUGCUGCAUUAGAGGUGGAUGUUUCAGCAGGAAUAGUGAUUGUGAAACUCUCUGUUGUUGUAGAUGUUUCUGCAACACUAAAAGUGGAUAUUUCAGCUGCAGUUGUUGUGAGUGUUGAAGUCUCUGUUGUUGUAGAUGUUUCUGCUACACUGAUAGUAGAGGUUUCAGCAGGAAUUGUUGUGAUUGUGGAAGUCUCUGUUGUUGAAAAUAUUUCUGCUACACUAGUGUUGGGUGUUUCAGCAGGAGAAGAUGUGAAUGUAGCAGUCUCUGUUGUUAUAGAUGUUUCUGCUACACUAGGGGUGGGUUUUUCAGCAGGAAUCGUUAUUGUUGAAGACUCUUUUGUUGUAGAUAUUUCUGUUUCACUGAUAGUAGAUAUUUCAGCAGAAGUAGUGAUUGUGGAAGUCUCUGUUGUUGUAGAUGUUUCUGAUGCACUAGUGGUUAAUGUUUCAGCAAUUGUCAUUGUUGUGGAAGUCUCUGUUGUUGUAGAUGUUUCUGCUGCACUAGUUCUGGAUGUUUCAGAAGGAGUCUUUAUUGUGGAAUUCUCUGUUGUAGUAGAUGUUUCUGUUGCACUAGUUGUGGGUGUUUCAGCAGGAGUUGAUGUGAUUGUGAAAUUAUCUGUUGUUGAAGAUGUUUCUGCUUUACUAGUGGUGGAUGUUUCAGUGGGAGUCGUUAUUGUUGAAGUCUCUGUGGUUGCAGAUGUUUCUGCUGUACUAGUUCUGGAUGUUUCAGAAGGAGUCUUUAUUGUGGAAUUCUCUGUUGUAGAAGAUGUUUCUGUUGCACUAGUUGUGGGUGUUUCAGCAGGUAAUGUUGGGAUUGUGGAAGUCUCUGUUGUUGAAGAUAUUUCUGCUACACUAACGGAGGAUGUUUCAGCAGGAGUCCUGAUUGUGGAUGUUUCUUUUGUAGUAGAUAUUUCUGCCUCACUAGGGGUGGAUAUUUCAGGUGUAGUUGAUUUGAUUAUGGAAGUCUCUGUUGUUGUAGAUGUUUCUGCUGCACUAGUAGUGGAUGUUUCAGCUGGAAUUAUUGUGAUUGUUGAAGUCUCUGUUGUAGAUAUUUCUGCUGCACUGAUAGUGGAUGUUUCAGCUGGAAUUGUUGUGAUUGUGGAACUCUCUGUUGUUGUAGAUGUUUGUGUUACAUUGAUAGUAGAGGUUUCAGCAGGAAUUGUUGUGAUUGUGGAAGUCUCUGUUGUUGAAGACGUUUCUGCAGCACUAGUGGUGGAUGUUUCAGCAGGAAUUUUUGUGAUGGUGGAUAUCUGUGUAGUAUAUUUUUCUGCUGCACUAGUAUUGGAUGUUUCAGCAGGAGUCGUUGUUUUGGAAGUCUCUGUUGUAGUAUAUGUUUCUGCUGCACUAUUGGUGGAUGUUUCAGCAGGUAUUGUUGGGUUUGUGGAAGUCUCUGUUGUUAAAUAUGUGUCUGUGGUACUAGUGGUGUAUGUUUCAACAGGAAUUGUUGGGAUUCUGGAAGUCCCUGUUGUUGUAGAAGUUUCUGCUGCACUAGUAGUGGAGGUUUCAGCAGGAUUCAUGACUGUAGAAAUCUCUUUGGUAGUAGAUGUUUCUGCUCCACUAGAGGUGGAUGUUUCAGCAAGAAUAGUGAUUGUGGAAAUCUCUGUUGUUGAAGAUAUUUCUGCUACACUAAUAGUGGAUGUUUCAGCAGGAGUCGUGAUUGUGAAAGUCUCCAUUGUUGUAGAUGUUACUGCUACACUAGUUGUGGAUGUUUUAGCAGGAGAAGGUGUGAUUGUAGUAGUCUCUGUUGUUAUAGAUGUUUCUGCUACACUAAUAGUGGAUGUUUCACCCGGAGGUGUUGUGAAUGUUGAAGUCUCUGUUGUUGAAAAUAUUUCUGCUACACUAGUGGUGGGUGUUUCAGCAGGAAUCAUUAUUGUUGAAGACUCUUUUGUUGUAGAUGUUUCUGUUUCACUGAUAGUAGAUAUUUCAGCAGAAGUAGUGAUUGUGGAAGUCUCUGUUGUUGUAGAUGUUUCUGUUGCACUAGUGGUGGAUGUUUCAGCAGGAGUCUUGAUUGUGGAAGUCUCUGUUGUUGUAGAUGUUUCUGUUACACUGAUAGUAAAGGUUUCAGCAGGAAUUGUUGUGAUUGUGGAAGUCUCUGUUGAAGAUGUUUCUGCUGCACUAUUGGUGGAUGUUUCAGCAGGAGUCAUGAUUGUUGAAGUCUCUGUUGUUGUAGGUGUUUCUGCUAAACUUGUGGUAGAUGUUUCAUCAGGAGUUGUGAUUGUGGAAGUCUCUGUUGUUGUAGAUGUUUCCGGUGUACUAGUAAUGGAUGUUUCAGCAGGAGUCGUGAUUGUGGAAGUCUCUGUUGUUCUAGAUAUUUCUGGUCCACUAGUGGUGGGUGUUUCAUCAGCAGUCAUGAUUGUGGAAGUCUUUGUUGUUGUUGAUGGUUCUGCUGCAAUAGUGGUUGAUGCUUCAGCAGGAGUCAUGAUUGUGGAAGUCUCUGUUGUUGUAAAUGUUUCAUCAGGAGUCGUCUUUGUGGAAGUGUCUGUUGUUGUAGAUGUUUCUGGUGCACUAGUGCUGGAUGUUUCAUGA